rnacentral:rRNA from 1 species
GAUGAACGCUGGCGGCGUGCCUAAUACAUGCCAGUCGAGCGAACGGACGAGAAGCUUGCUUCUCUGAUGUUAGCGGCGGACGGGUGAGUAACACGUGGAUAACCUACCUAUAAGACUGGGAUAACUUCGGGAAACCGGAGCUAAUACCGGAUAAUAUUUUGAACCACAUGGUUCAAAAGUGAAAGACGGUCUUGCUGUCACUUAUAGAUGGAUCCGCGCUGCAUUAGCUAGUUGGUAAGGUAACGGCUUACCAAGGCAACGAUGCAUAGCCGACCUGAGAGGGUGAUCGGCCACACUGGAACUGAGACACGGUCCAGACUCCUACGGGAGGCAGCAGUAGGGAAUCUUCCGCAAUGGGCGAAAGCCUGACGGAGCAACGCCGCGUGAGUGAUGAAGGUCUUCGGAUCGUAAAACUCUGUUAUUAGGGAAGAACAUAUGUGUAAGUAACUGUGCACAUCUUGACGGUACCUAAUCAGAAAGCCACGGCUAACUACGUG